rnacentral:rRNA from 1 species
GACGAACGCUGGCGGCGUGCCUAAUACAUGCAAGUCGAGCGAAGUUUUUCUGGUGCUUGCACUAGAAAAACUUAGCGGCGCACGGGUGAGUAACACGUAAAGAACCUGCCUCAUAGACUGGGACAACUAUUGGAAACGAUAGCUAAUACCGGAUAACAGUAUUUCUCGCAUGAGAGAUAUUUAAAAGUUGGUUAUGCUAACACUAUGAGAUGGCUUUGCGGUGCAUUAGCUAGUUGGUGGGGUAAAGGCCCACCAAGGCGACGAUGCAUAGCCGACCUUAGAGGGUGAUCGGCCACACUGGGACUGAGACACGGCCCAGACUCCUACGGGAGGCAGCAGUAGGGAAUCUUCCGCAAUGGGCGAAAGCCUGACGGAGCAACGCCGCGUGAGUGAAGAAGGAUUUCGGUUCGUAAAGCUCUGUUGUUAGGGAAGAAUGGAUAUGUAGUAACUAUACAUGUAAGAGACGGUACCUAACCAGAAAGCCACGGCUAACUACGUG